ACCCCGUACAUUUAUACGACAAAUUAUCCGCAAGCAAAUCGACUCAAGUUAAAGGAGGAAUUAUUUUCGGACAUGAAAUAAGAGCUUUUAAUUUUCAACUUUGAUUAUCACAAAAAUUGAUUAAUUAAAGUUAGCCAAGUAAAUUAGCGGGACAUGUGUCAAUGUUAAGGGCUACUUAUAUAAAGCAUAAGAUGACUUAUAUUCCUCCAUUAUUCACAAAACUCAUCCAUCAAAGUAGAGUUAGUGAGAGAAGCUCUCAAGCCUAAAGAGAGAGAAGGUCACGGAGGCUACUGUUCACGGCGGCUACUGUUCGCGCCGCCACUGUUCACGGGCGGCGGCACUGUUCAUGGGCACUGUUCACGGCCAACCCAUUUUUGCCCCCUUCUACACAAUUAAUUGGAGAGAUUUGAAGAUCAAGAGGAGGAAAAAUAUGGAGAUCAUGGUAGCCAUGGCAACUCACGGCUAUGGCUUUCUUGAAGACAUUUCAUGGUGAAAAAUUAGAGCUUGUCUCUAAGACCUUGGGGAGCCCGAGGCGUAGAUUUGGAUUAGCUUUAGAUUGGCUAUCUUGGAAGUGCGUUCGAGGUACAGACGCACAGUUUGGUGAUCCACCAGUUUAGGACACCCUCUUCUGCUGUUUGGAGUGCUCCUUUUAUUCCGGAGCCUACAUUUUGGUAUAUAUACUUGUUUGAUGCAUAUGUAUAUAUUUGUUCAGGGGUACGGCGGGGCCCUGUUCCGCCAUAUGAUCUGUUUGGUCUGUUUAGAGGUCUGUAGACGUAUUUGUGGGUGUGUGUGCCUACUUUUGUACGGGUGUGUUUGGUAUGAUCCCAUUCGUUAUGGCAGCCUUGUCGGCGUGCACUUUGUAUAUGUUUUGGGCCGUUGCGCCAUCUGUUAGCCUUGUCGGCUUUUGAUACAUUUG